UACAGAGGUCUCAAGCGUUGUUCGGAUUCAUUGGGCGUAAAGGGCGCGUAGGCGGCCUUGUAAGUCCCGUGUGAAAUCCCUCGGCUCAACUGAGGAACUGCACGGGAAACUGCUUGGCUUGAGUUCGGGAGAGGGAAGCGGAAUUCCGGGUGUAGCGGUGAAAUGCGUAGAUAUCCGGAGGAACACCGGUGGCGAAGGCGGCUUCCUGGACCGACACUGACGCUGAGGCGCGAAAGCUAGGGGAGCAAACGGG
rnacentral:rRNA from 1 species